UGGCUCAGAGGUUAAAGCGUCUGCCUCCAAUGCAGGAGACCCAGGUUCAAUCCCUGG
rfam:Ovis aries breed Texel chromosome 4, whole genome shotgun sequence.